ensembl:lncRNA
UUCUCAUUAAUUUUCAAAGAUUUCUAUACCAGUGCUUGAAGAAUCACACCCACAAUGAAGAAAAUAAGGCAAAUGAUUCAGAUUAUAUUGUUAUUAAUAUUCCAAUAAAACUGUGGGGUAAUGUAGGAGGGCUGUUGCCCUCUUUCGUUAAAUAUAUAGACACAUGUUUGGAAUAAAACGGUGAUUCAAACUGUGACUUUCGGCCUUUAUGAAUGUUUCUGUUAGUUGAUAAACUAGUUUGAUUCACCCCCUCCCUCCCUCUAUUUUAUUUAUAAUACAUUGUCUUUUUUGAAUGCUUUCAAACUCUUACACCGUGUCCUAACCAGGUGUGAUGCAUUAAUUAAUCUUGAGAUAAAAGUUAUAAAACUUAGUAAAUCAGAAUUAGUUUUGUAACAGACAUGCGAUGAAUGACAGGACAUAUUGUGGUCACUUGGUUUCUAAGGCAGCGUCUAAAUGAAGAUUGCUUAUAUUAAUUAUACUGAUUUUUAUCAUUAGAAAUUUAAUUAUAGAUUAAGAAAAAAAAAAAAACUCUCACGUUCUCUCAUUUGAUAUUUCAUCCUUUUUCGGACACAGCCAAUCCCUGCGGAGUCCUUCCGUGUGUCCCCGCCCAUAGUGAAAUAUCAUUGGUCCAAAACCCUACUCCACAUAACCUCAAAAUUACAUCCAGUGCAAGAAACAUUUUAACCGCAAAUAUUUAAUUCCACAGAAGCUAUUACAGUAAUUGUUUCUAAAAGUGCCUGUCUGUGUGUUUUUAAAGGGCUCUCACAAAAAAAGUAAAGUUUUAUUUUAUUUCUCUUGCUAUCGUGACAGCAGGUAGUCGCUAGUGAGUUUACCGAUAUGUUUACAUGAAGUGAACGCAGUUUAAACGUUAUAGCUCCAUGUGCUGGUUACCUGUGUAUGUGUCAUGCCGUGCAGCUUUUUCCACUUUCAUUGUGGAUAGACAAAUUACUAGCGUCUCACCUUGUUAGGACACAAUUGUUGUGUUGAAUGCUACAGCUAAUCUCUUUGUAUGUUUGUAAUCGGAUGUAUCUAUUAUGUUUAACAAUUAAAUGUUUAAGCAUUCCUAGAAGGACAAGCACAGCCAUGUGCAAGCAUGAAGUGUCUCAUUUUGACACUAGGAGUCAGUAGAAGCAAGAAAGACAUCCCCACAUUCCCCGAAGAAAGGCC